ensembl:lncRNA
AUGAAAUUGCAAAGGGCUGAACACCAAAGUGUGUCUUUUCUGGUCGCAGCUGCCUAUGCUGAUAUUCUCUUCUUGUUCCUCCACGACCCUUCUGCCUUCUCCUCUCUGCUCCCCACCUCAGGCGGAACUUCAUACCAGCAUCAAAGGCCCCCCUGCCCUCUAGCUUCCCACCGGGCUCGGCCAAGGAACCACCAAGAGAUCCAAGAAGGAGAGAUUCGAGGAGGUGGCAGUGGAGGCCCGAGGAGGGCGAGGAAGGGCUGGCAGAAAUCCUCUUACAGAAUUUCUUCUAAGGAAUCCAGAGGAGCCCUCUACCAGUCCUUUUCCAGCCUGGCUGAAGGACGGCGUGCAAAACUGGAGCUUUCAUGUGGGCUUGGUGCCAUCUAGUGGCUAAGGAGCCACCUUUCAUCGCGUGGGUCCGUUGGCCCUCUAGCGGACGGAUAUACUCUGACUUAGGUGUGCAGGAAAAUCUCCUGGAUGCUUGUUAAAAAUGAGGACUCCUGGGGUCUAGACCCUGAAGCUCUAACUCAGUUUGUCUGGCAGGAAUUCAGGAAUAUGUUUUUCUAACUGGCACUCACAUGUUUGUGAGGCAAGGCUCUGGACCACACUUAGAAAACAGCUCUUGUGAAGACUGUAUCUUCUAGGUGUCCGGCUUUGUGUGGAUAAUCAUGUCCACAGACAUGCUUCUAAAAACUGUGCUGACCGUGCCUAAAUCUGUAUCUUCAGCAAAAUCUCCUGAGUGUCAGGCUUGUAUUUUUUCACCGGUGGCUUCAUAAAUAUCCUAGAAAUAGACACCCAGAUUCAGCGUCGUUGUCUCUGAAUCUCUGUACCUCAUCCCCAACCCCUGCUUUUUGGGGGGCCACGCCCAUGGCAUGGGGAAGUUACUGCACCAGGGAUCAAACCCAGAGAUCAAACAAAAAAGUGAUUAUAUAUUGCAUAUAUAAUCCCAUGUAUAGUAUAGAUUAUGUAUAUAAUUCUAUGUAUAUUAUAUAUUGUGUAUAUGAUAUAUAGCAAUGUUAUAUAUAGUAUUAUAAUAUAUAAUAUAGAUCUUCUUCCUCUUCUCACUCAUCCCACAUUCCCUUCGCCUUUAUAACAGGGUGACACAAACUCAUUCCUGAAGGGUCUGGGCCCCUAGUAAGUCUUGCCUGGAUUGGGUGGCUGUCACUUUCCGUUGAUCUUGGUCAUGGGCAUGGUACUAUUUAAAAACUCCCUGAGGAAUCCCCAUAGACCUGACCUCCUCCUCUCGACCACCAUCAAGGAGCAGCAGCCCAAUUUCUCCUGGACAGUCAGGCUUGGGUCAUUGAAACUCCCUUCCCCACCUGCUGAUUCAGAGUCAUGAGGCACUCAAAGUGACUGAGCAGUGGCCUUAACUCCCAGGCCAAUGGACUCCUUGCUGUGACUUAAAGGGAAGCAUUCCUCCCUUUGGAACAAAGACCUAUAGGCCAGCAGAGCAUAAGGUCAUGGGAACAGGAAGCAAACAUUUUGCUAAAGGGUCACCAGGGGUAACUGUGAGUGGUGCCACUCCCGUUCCCAGGGAGUGAUUCCUGGACCAGUGAUGCUGGGCAUGGGAGGAAAAGCACCACAGGCUGAGUGCUGAUUCAGAGUGUCGACAGCUUUCUGGAAAACCCCAGGCCUGCAAAGUACCACCACCUAGCUGAUGCUGUAAGUGAGUCUUCAAAAGGCAUUCCGCCCCUGAACCAAGCCAUCUGCUUCUGGGUGCUGGCGACCAUGGCAGGACCAGUGACUCCCACAGGCACGUGCCCAUCGCUCACUUCCUCCUGACUGAUGGCCUUCGAGCUCGGACAUCAGUUUCUUCCUCCCUUUGGACUCAAACGGAAACACCAGCUCUUCCUGGGUCUUGAGCCUGCCGGCCUUCAGACUGGACCUGCUCCAUCGGCUCCCCUGGGUCUCCAGCCUGCCAACAGCAGAUGUGGACCUUCUCAGCCUCCAAUCCCAUGAACCAAUCCCUUAUAAUAAAUAAACCAGUACGUGUGUGAAGACA